GUAUAGGGUAAAAUUUUCCGCCCGCACUUGGUCGUCUCCAACCCACCUGAAUCAGAGUCCCACCGUGGGCUACCGCGCCGGCCGGCACCCUUGGCGGAGGUGGCCACCAAAAUAAAAAAAGGAGCUAUAAAAUAAUCCUUUAUUCAAGCUCUACUCAAGUCCAUGGUUAACUUCGCACAAAAGUAUAUCUAAAUCCCUGACCGAAGCCAAACAAACCAAGAAACCUAGCCAUUCAAACCUAAACUAAACCUCAGACAUACUAGUUCUAAGCCCCUGGGAUUGGGGAUUUGGAUCUUCUCCUCAACCUCUACAACCUAAGCACAAGAAUUUAAAGAAAUCAAUGAGGCAAAGAACUCACCAUGGUCGGAGAUUUCAACUAAGGAGACGACGGAAUCAGGUUGGGACCUAAGUGGAAUCGACCUUAACAUGAGUGAUGACCUACUGAUCAGGUUCACCCUUUAAUGCCAACUUGGUUAAUUGAUUGGCUUAGGAAAUGUUAUGUUGUGUUGUUGUUCUAGUCAAGUGUGCAAGUUGGUCAUCUGAUAUGUUUGUACUACUACAAAGUGAUGGCAUUACUUUGCAGGAGGUAGUCAUGACUUGAUGUAGAGUCAACAUGGUUUUUGCAUUGCAGGUUUGUAUUGCAGGUCCUGCUCAUGACUUAUUUUGUACAAGGUUUGCAUUACAGCAAGUAUGGAUCAUGGCUUUGCAAUGUUGAAUUACCUUAUUUGCUGGUGUGUGCAAGUGUGGCCUAUGAACAAGGAUGAUUGGCUCAUUACAUGUUUGGCAUUGCAGGUCCAGGACUGGUGUGUACAACUUGUUGCAGGUUUAGGCUAGGUUAAAAUUGGUUUGACCCUGAACCACGAUGUAUGGUCUAGUUCUACAUUAUGCUCCUGACCUUCUCCUGUUUAAUGCUAAUUUUGUCCAUGAUACUAGGGUUGAUGCACCUUGUGAUACAAACUACUGCAAAUAUCUAGUGAUGAUGGAUUGUAUUGUAUCCCCUGACUAAGCUGUCAUAAACCUCUUGAGUUGGCCAUGGAGAUUGAAUGAUGUUAGACAACUUUAUGUUGCUCUGAACUGAAUCUGCAUCAAUGUCCCUGAGCAGUUUGGAAUGUUGCAGGUAACCUACUGACAUGCCUUGCCAGGUUUAUGUAACAUGUUGAAUAUGGAUAUGGGAUGCAAUUGGUGCUUCUUGCUCUAAACCAAAUGUGCCUUACUUUGUUGCUGUAAUGGAUUGGUGCUUUAAAAGAUUGGAGGUUAGAUGCUGAAAUGUGGCCCUAUUAACAUGAUGAUCAGUUAGCAGACCUACUUGGUUUUUGUUGUAACAUGAUUAACAUGGUCUUCUAGAUGAUGCAUCACAUGAUGGUCUUUCAGCUUGGCAAUGUUGGUUGCAAGUUUGCAUUAGGUCCUGUUUGCUUAUGCUCAUAGCAGAUUAUGGCUUGGACAGUGAAAAUAAGCUUGUGACUUUAGUUUCAUGGGAGUUUGGUUAUGGCUACCGCAGGAUCAUGAUGGCAGGAUGUUAGUGCAAGGUUUGUCAUGGACGAGUUUAGCAAGGUAAAACUGUGGUUGGCAAUGCAAAAUGUCCAAGUCAUUACAUGGUGGACAUGAUUUUGAAUAUGGACAAGGUUACUUGUAAAUGAAGAAACAAUGCAAAAGCCUAUCAAACAUGACUUUUGGAAGAUGAAUCAAGGCAAAGUGGUUUAGAUUAGGUCUUAGGUGGUCAAAAAAGGAUGAGUUGACUUUGGUCAAAGUUGACCAAAAAGUCAAUUGUUGACCAAAGUCAACACAUGGUCAAAGUUGUUAAAAUUUGCAUUUUUUCAUGUAAUGAUCAAUGUAGUAGAUUAUAAUAGACUGUGAAUGACUUGUAAUGGAUUGAAAUUGGUUUUCCAAUUGAUUUUUUUGUACAUG